GGUGAGGAAACCUUUAAAAGCAUGGAAAAAGCCACAACCACUAGAGCAUGUGGUUUGCUGGAUCUAUAACAUGAUAACUGCAGCUUAUUUGCACAGAGUAUUUAGCAUUUAUCUAUCUGAUCAAUAAAAGCUAUUUGAUAGCUCAGGAUCGGUUACAGUCCCUUUAUUAUGAAGAGAAUUCUCUUAUUCAGAAGUAUAUCUAUCUAUCUGAGACCUUAACUGGGUGUUCUCUUUUCUUUCUCGAUAU
rnacentral:lncRNA from 1 species